rnacentral:hammerhead_ribozyme from 1 species
GCCUAACUGACGAGUACCAAAUAGGACGAAACGCGCUUCUUGGUU